CCAAUAGCGUAUAUUAAAGUUGUUGCAGUUAAAAAGCUCGUAGUUGAAUUUCGGGGUCAGUAGAUUGGUCGUGCCACUGGUAUGUACUGGUCUUACUGGCUCCUCCUUCCUGAUGAACCGUAAUGCCAUUAAUUUGGUGUUGCGGGGAGACUGGACUGUUACUUUGAAAAAAUUAGAGUGUUUAAAGCAGGCUAACGCUUGAAUACAUUAGCAUGGAAUAAUGAAAUAGGACGUUCGAUCUUAUUUUGUUGGUUUCUAGGAUUGACGUAAUGAUUAAUAGGGAUAGUUGGGGGCAUUAGUAUUCAAUUGUAAGAGGUGAAAUUCUUGGAUUUAUUGAAGACUAACUACUGCGAAAGCAUUUGCCAAGGAUGUUUUCAUUAAUCAAGAACGAAAGUUAGGGGAUCGAAGACGAUCAGAUACCGUCGUAGUCCUAACCAUAAACUAUGCCGACUAGGGAUCGGAUGAUGUUAAUUUUUUUAAUGACUCAUUCGGCGCCUUACG
rnacentral:rRNA from 1 species